ensembl:lncRNA
CCGGCCUCCGCGGGCCGCCGCGCUGAGGGACCCUUCCAGCAGCCAAUCGGAGCGCGCGUCUCGAGCCCAAGGGGCGGGGCCGCCCGGCGCCCCCGCGCUGGAGGUCACGGCGCGGCGGGGCGCGGCCAUGGCCCGGCGCGCCGCGGGGGAGGUUCUCCGCUUGUCGCCCGAGAGGCCCGGGAAGAUCUCCCCCCAGAGGCGGCCCCGGCCCGGGAGGCGCUCAUCUCCGCCUGGACCGCUUCGUCCUGCAUCCCUUUCUCUUCCUGUUACCCUGGGGUCCCCUGGGUCCCUGCCUGCCUCUUCGCGCUCCGAAAGCCGAGUUUCGCAGAUACUCAGCUCGGAGGAGGACGUUCUGCCGGGAAGUAGGUGCUUUCUUGUUAAGCGGCGGUCGAUCGAUGGGAGGGGCCAGAAGUCGCUAGGUGUCCGGACAAGAUUGUCACUGUCGCUGAGAUCGUCAGCUCUAGUGCUUGGAGGCGGGUGACUUCCUGCAAGCUUAGAACUUUGGGAUUACUUCCGAGCUUGAAGGCCCGGUGUGCAUCAGCUGUGCUAGGUGGUGUGCCCGUCUCAGAGCGCUGUGUCCUGGAGGGCUUAAAUCUUCGUUCUUCAUGUUUAGUCUGCAAGUUCCGUACUUUGUGAGUAUGCAUUAUGUAUUCAUUAUGUAAUCUGUUAGCAGGACGAAAAGGAAUUUACAUGGAUGGGAUAAUGUGCUACUGACCUAUGAUCGUAGGGCCUGUGCUUGAAGUCGCUGUCCGCCCACUGUCUCUAGGUUGGUUCCCUUUGUGACCAGCGCGGCAGUCUGACCUGCAGCUGCUUGGUCAAGAAUGUGAUGUCUGCUGCUCCACAGAAACACGUUUCUCUUGGAGGGACCUCCGUUUCUCUGCUUUCACCACUGUUCUUUUAGAAGUUUUUGUUUUCACCCUAUUCAUUUAACUACACUUUUGUCACCUUUGGACUCUCAUAAACUCAGAAACCUGUUUGCCCAGUUUAGUACAUGGUUAUUUUUUCCUUCGCCCUUGACUUGUAAUCAUAUUGCUGUGAGCUGAUAAAUACUUGGAACUAUAUGUACUUUUUACAUGCUUAAAUUGUUACAGAAAGUAGCACCAUACAGAGAGGUUGGGGUGGCAGUGCAGCCUGUCAGAGCUUUUGGGUUCAUGGUGUGUUGAUACAUAUCAUGGUAGGUUGAUACAUACCUGAUCGUGGCUCAUUUGUCUAAGAUCAGGACAGGUCAGGUGGCCAAUCUGACAGGCCAUAAAUUACAAUUCAGAAACUUUUCUACCAUCUUCUGAAGUGCACAUAUAAAAGGAUAUAAAUAACAGACUAUUCAGAUAAUUUGGUCAUCAGUGAAUCUUUUUAGUAAAAAUAUACCCAGAGUCUGUAUCCUUUUAGCAAAUGUUUACUGAGCCCUUACCAUGUGCUAAUGGUCAUAAUGCUAAGUUUUAAGUAUACAGUGGCAAUCUAAAUGAACAUGAUCCCGGCCUCAUGGAAUAGAUUAUAUUACAUUCUCUCUCUCUCCCUCUCUCUCUCUCUAUAUAUAUAUUCAGUCUCUGAUAUGAGUUAUGAAGGAAAUAAAGAGUUCUACAGCAGAAGUGGAAGCAGCUACUUUAAAUAGAAUAGUCAGAAAAGGAAUGAGAAGUGAAAAGAAAAGCAUUCUAGCCAGAAUAGCUUGUGCAAAGGCCCUGAGGCAGGAAAGAGCCACGCUUAUUCAAGGAAUAAGAAGGACAUCAAGUUCCUUGAGGAAAAGAUUGUUCUGUUUUGUCUAGAACAAUGUGUGUUAUGUAAUAGGCACUACAGAAGUAUUUGCAUAUGGCUGGAUGAAUGUAUACCUAGGAUUUAUUUAGCAAGUACAAGUUGAGGUUGGAGAAGUAGGCAAGGACUGGACCAUGCCACGCUGUGUUAAAAACGAGGGGAUCUAAUUACGUUUUAUAAAGAUCACUCACAACAGUGUGGGGAAUUGUUUAGUGAGGAGCAAAAACAGAAGGAGGAAAACCCAGGUAUGUGGCGCAGGGAGGUGGAGAAAAGUGGACCAAAGAAAUCCCUAAAUAACUGCAUGUUAGAGCCGAGGCCAGUGGGUUUAACUUCUUGCCCGUUUCACCUCUUAGCAGCUCAGCAAAGUGACUGUCCCACUUAUCUUCCUACCCCUAGGACUGGCGCAGCCCCGCCCCCAGACCAAGCCUGGAAGGAAAUUCGCCUUUGGCUAAGAAUUCAGUCAAGCCCUUGAAGACAGUGAUUUCCGAGUUCCUCAUGGGUCUUCCUGUAAUUAAGGGAGUGGCCGUCUUAAAUGGAGUCACAGGGAGAGGAAGAGUGUGGGAUCUUCUACCAGAGAAAUGACUUGGUCUUGAAAGGAAGUCCAUGAGGUGGGGACAGUCAAGGCAGAGACCUUCUGGCAUGCGCAGCAGUGUGCCUGCCGCCUGAGACUUGCCCACACGCAGAAGCAAAAGCAAGGGCAACUCGUGCACAAGGCAUGUGAAGCCGACUGAAGCUGCGAAGCUUGAACUCUGGUUCUUGUGGCAGGCCUGCCCCUGCACCUGCCACCUGCUCGGGCGUGGGUGGGGACAGCUGCUUCCUGGAGCUGCCGUGCCCUACGGGAUGGAGCUGGGCCAGGAGCUGAGAAGCCACGCGCAGGGGUCAGGCAGGGACGCCGGGACCGAGCUCUCUCUAGCGUGUACCAGAAAUCCGCUUAGCGGAGCCCAGGCUGCCCGUGUCUACACAGUGAGGAACCCAGGCUCCGCGCAGGGGCGCUACUCCCCCUCAGGGCAGCCCGCGCCCUGUUUGUGCUGCCCUGGCUGUGACCAGGUUCUUUCUUUCGCUGAGCCGCACAUUUUCCUCUCUUACCUGGCCCGUUCGUCCUACGUCCUCUUACUCUAGAAUCUCAGAAAUAAGGCUAAUCCCUUUUGUUGGGAUUUUAAAGUUUAAUUUACUUGGGAAUGGCUGCCUGGGUUACUUCUAAUCUUUUAAGCUGUUGCAAGAAAGCAUGAAGCAGUGGCAAGAGAUCCACUUAGUAGAUGCAGUGGACAGAGUGCCCGCUGUGGAGGCAAGUUUUGUCUUAAGAUUUGCGGGUUCCUGCGGCCUGCCAGCGAGGCAGCUCGGCCUGCGCCUGCAGAAUGACCACCGUUACUCUCUCGGGUCUUAAAGGAAGCCGGGCCUCCAGGUGGGCAGGCGUCUGCUGUAAUAACAACAACAACCAGAAUAAUGAAAAGCCAGCUCGCUGCCCUGCUCCCUGCGCCUCCCCACUCCGGAGCGUUUGCCUGACUGGUGGAAUGGGCCCAGGACCUGCCUUUGAGGUCUCGGGUGUGACCUGGUGCUUCCAGCCCCGAGAUGCUCCGCUGGGUCCGCAGAAGGGAGUGGCUGUCCCCGCGGCCACACUGUCCCUCCGCGUGUUCCAUCCUGUGCGGCCCCUACCCGUGUUCUUCAGCAGCCGUUCCUCCCCCGGUUUUUCCUCUUCCUGCAAUGUCAUCCCUCAGCCAUGUGUGGCCACUCCACCAUUCUCUUCAUGUUUUUACAGCUUUCUAAAACAUGCCUUUAUUAUCAUUGUAAUGGGGUCUCUUGGGGGGAAAGAGAGAAAUAGGCACUGUCAGCCAGCCAACUCGAACCAGAAACAGUACAUAACAUGUAUAGUCAGUUGUACAAACUUAAAGAAAUUUGAAAAACAGAGAACAAUAAAAAUCUGUAAUUGUGUUAC